UUAUAGUAGUUUGACUAAUGUGAUAAAAAUUAUUUUGUUUAUAAUUACUUCAAUUUGUUGGAAGAACUUUAAACACUUGGUUCCUACAAGUGGAAAUUAACAUUUUAAAGACACAGUGUUGUCAGAGAGUUCAGCAAAGCAUUUGAGUACUUUUUAGCCUCAAGAAGUGGGAAAAUUGUACUUAUUUAAAUGUCACUGUUUUGCAAAAACUUUGAGUCUUUUUCUUCUUUGUCUCUUUAUCCCUCAUUUGCUAGUGCUCACACAAUAUAUGCAGUAAAUGUAUUUUUUGGAAGUCUAACUAUUUUUAACAGAUGCAAUCCUUAAUUUUAUUGCUUCAUAUUUAUAUUAGAGAUUAAUAUGUUUGCCUGAAUGCCAGGCAGAUUAACUUCUCUUUGUUUAGCUUUAUAAUUUUUGCUUUAAGCACUGGAGAAGUUUGUUAUUGACAAAGCUGAACUAAUGUCAAUGAUCUUAUUUUUCAGAAUUUUUUGUGACAUUGAAAUUUUGGGAAAACAUAUAUGCAUAUAAAUUAGAUGAUAAAGGUAGAAACCGAGGCUUUAAUUACAAGAGAUACUCAGUGUACUUUUUAUUCUUAAGCCUACUAGAUGAGAAAAUUCAAGCCAUUAUUCAAUGUUUUUUUAAAUAAUUUAUUGCUGUUUUUAGAACUCUUUACUGUGUUUAUUCUAAUUCUUUAAUUCCUUCAAUAAGAAUAAUCAACCUAAUUAAAUAAUUGCAGGUUAAAAUUAAAUUUCAUUUCAAUAUUCUUGACCAGGGAACCCUAAGAGUUUUUAAGUGUUUAAGUAACUCAGUUGUGUAAGCGUUAACAGUCAGAAAUAUAUCCAGGUCAUCUAAGUCAUACAAUUGUCAGAUGGUUGCUAGGCAACAGAUAUCAGGUUUGGCUGAUGCUUGUUUCUAGGCAAAGCUUACCAUGUGAAAAGAAGAACAAAUUACAUGACACCUGCAUUUUGUUGUUAUGCUUUUUGAAAAUAAAGUUGUAUUUGGAGGGGAAAAAAGCCCUGACAUUUAUUAUGCACAUCAUCUUUCUUCUAAAUGUCAGAACUAUAUCAUUUGAUAGUUAAGUGAUAAGGUACAAUGAAUUGAAAUGACGGAUGACAUUUUAUUUCUUUUAUGGUUUUAGAUAAGGGCCUUUUGCCUAAUGCUGUUUUUAUAUCUUGUCAUCAAGUUAAUUAACUUUCUGAAUUCAUUAUGAUAGAAAAGAAGCUGCAAGUCAAAAUUAAUUGAAAUAUAAUUAAUUUAAAAUAUACAUAUUUCAAUGCUACUGAGGACAAGAAGUGAAAAUGACUUAUGUUACAUGAUUCUAGUACAACAUCAAAAUAUUUCACUGGUGAUGGAAGUGAUGUUGAGAGAGAGAUCACGUUUUAGAAAUCUAAGGUAAUAUUCCCAUUUUUGGAUAGUUAAAGACCUAGUCAAAAUUAUAGCUUGGCCCACAAAGUCUGAUGUUGGAACUCUGCCAAGUGUGAAGACGUAUUCUUCCAUCACGGUAAGGAUAUGUGGAUGAGAAGAACCACAACACAAUGAAGACAACAGUCAAAGGCACUGCAUGAAAACCUCAUGGAGACCCAUCUAUGUGUAUCUGUGAUUUGGAUAAUACAGAAGCUGAGGCAGGAGCUGCCUACCAAACAACUAAAUAAAAAGAAGGAUGCAUUUCGGAAGUAAGUACACUCACACCAGUUACUGUCAAAGGUGUAUAUGUCCAGUCGUACUCUUUCAACAAGAUGGGGUUACAUUCAUCUGUACCAUAUACAUUUAAUAUAAAAGAUUUAGCUUCCCAAUUAGCAACUAUAUAACUGGUUUGAGUUCAGGAUAAGGAAGCAUCACUACCCCACCUCUCUACCGCGCCACCUCAAUCCUUUCUUCACUCUUGGCUUUCUGGAGUAAUGGUCUCUCUUAAUCCAUUUCUAAUGGUUAACAGAAUGGAUGUUGGGGUUGGACACACCUGGAGUAGAAUUUUGACUCUAUUGCUUACUGAUACAUGAGAGGUUCUUGCAGUUUACUGAACUUCUUAGGCUUCUAUUUUGCCAUCUGUUAAAUGGAGAAGAUUGUAGUGCCUACCCCAUGGAGUUACUGUGAAAAAUCAGUACCUGUAAAGUACUUAGCUCAGUGCCUGGCACAUGGUGCUAAAUAGAUGUUAGCUAUUAUAUAAAAUAUAUAUUAAAAAUGGUUGUCCACUCUAGAGUAGCCUAGUGUCCCCAAUCCUAUCCCAAAAUACAGAUUCAGGAGUUUCUCCUCUGAAUUCAGUUGGCAGUCUUGUGAUCUCUGUUGGUGUUAAAAAGUCUCGAGUGUUGCUGGGAGAUGUCGCACUGAGCAGCUGAAUGAUAUAGAAGGGGAAGUCUCAUAUCCGUCCUAUGGUUAAUGGGCAGAAGAGGCUUCUGCAUAAAGUCAGGAAAAUAUUUCUGUUGGUGAAUUGAGUUGGCAGAAAUAUCUGUAUGUAGCUACCAAGUGUUCUCACUUAAAUGGUUCAUGAAAUGACCAGCUGCGUCAGUUCCCUGGCACCCCUAUGGGUCCGAGGCAUUUGAAUGUGUCUCUUAAAAAAGUCUUCCUCCAGAAUCUUUCACCGCGAAAUUUUCCAAAGAUUAUACUCUGGAAACUGUUUUGGGAGUGACACUCCAGGGGUUUGAAUCCUGGUAUCCUUUUAACUUCCCUUUCUUAACCCCAUCUGAGCCAAAGCUCAAUUUCUCCUAUUUUUUCCACAACAGGACUUAGUGAGACAUUGAGAAAGACCAGAUGUUAGCAACAAAAAAUAUGUUUACAUUCCUAGAGGAUAAAAAGAGAGUUGGGGAGGCUGUUGCUUUUCAAACCACAGCUCGUGUAUAGUUUAAGAGAAAAAGGAGGUACUUUCCCACGAUACUUUCUCUUUAUGCGUCAGAUAGUUUCACUUGUUGCAGAAAAAAAGGAAGUGAGGGAGAGAUGAAGUGAGGAGGAGAAAGAGAAAGGAAGGUAGAGAGAAUCUUUUUAUUGCUUGUUACAUAUAUGCACACAUACACAUUUAUAAAUAGCUAGGCAGCCGUCACUCACUGUGUGCUAGGCUCUGUGCUAGGAGCUUUUUUCCUAAUCUGAAUCUUUCCUUUGAUCCUAAAAAAAUGGGAUCAUAAUCUCUGGUACAUACUAGGAAAUUAUGGUUCAGAGGAGUUAAAUACCUUGCCUAAGUUUACAUGGCUAAGUAAGGGGCGGAAACUUACAC